UACGUAGGUGGCAAGCGUUGUCCGGAUUUAUUGGGUUUAAAGGGUGCGUAGGCGGUCUAUUAAGUCAGUGCUGAAAUACUCCAGCUUAACUGGAGGGGUGGCAUUGAUACUGAUGGACUUGAGUACAGAUGAGGUAGGCGGAAUUGACGGUGUAGCGGUGAAAUGCAUAGAUAUCGUCAAGAACACCGAUAGCGAAGGCAGCUUACUGGGCUGUAACUGACGCUGAUGCGCGAAAGCCAGGGGAGCAAACGGG
rnacentral:rRNA from 1 species